GGGCGUAAAGCGCACGCAGGCGGUCUGUCAAGUCGGAUGUGAAAUCCCCGGGCUCAACCUGGGAACUGCAUCCGAAACUGGCAGGCUAGAGUCUUGUAGAGGGGGGUAGAAUUCCAGGUGUAGCGGUGAAAUGCGUAGAGAUCUGGAGGAAUACCGGUGGCGAAGGCGGCCCCCUGGACAAAGACUGACGCUCAGGUGCGAAAGCGUGGGGAGCAAACAGGAUUAGAUACCCUGGUAGUCCACGCCGUAAACGAUGUCGACUUGGAGGUUGUGCCCUUGAGGCGUGGCUUCCGGAGCUAACGCGUUAAGUCGACCGCCUGGGGAGUACGGCCGCAAGGUUAAAACUCAAAUGAAUUGACGGGGGCCCGCACAAGCGGUGGAGCAUGUGGUUUAAUUCGAUGCAACGCGAAGAACCUUACCUACUCUUGACAUCCAGAGAACUUAGCAGAGAUGCUUUGGUGCCUUCUGGAACUCUGAGACAGGUGCUGCAUGGCUGUCGUCAGCUCGUGUUGUGAAAUGUUGGGUUAAGUCCCGCAACGAGCGCAACCCUUAU
rnacentral:rRNA from 1 species